rnacentral:rRNA from 1 species
AGUGAACGCUGGCGGUAGGCCUAACACAUGCAAGUCGAACGGCAGCACAGUAAGAGCUUGCUCUUACGGGUGGCGAGUGGCGGACGGGUGAGGAAUACAUCGGAAUCUACUUUUUCGUGGGGGAUAACGUAGGGAAACUUACGCUAAUACCGCAUACGACCUACGGGUGAAAGCAGGGGAUCUUCGGACCUUGCGCGAUUGAAUGAGCCGAUGUCGGAUUAGCUGGUUGGCGGGGUAAAGGCCCACCAAGGCGACGCUCCGUAGCUGGUCUGAGAGGAUGAUCAGCCACACUGGAACUGAGACACGGUCCAGACUCCUACGGGAGGCAGCAGUGGGGAAUAUUGGACAAUGGGCGGAAGCCUGAUCCAGCCAUACCGCGUGGGUGAAGAAGGCCUUCGGGUUGUAAAGCCCUUUUGUUGGGAAAGAAAAGCAGCAGGUUAAUACCCCGCUGUUCUGACGGUACCCAAAGAAUAAGCACCGGCUAACUUCGUG